CCCCUUGUUUGCUUUUCCUUGCCUAUUAGUUGCCCAGCUGAUGAACUGGAGCUUCUCGCACUCUGCGUUCACUACUCAAAUAAUUUUUAUUUUUUUUUGUAGCGGCACAGGGAAAAAUAAAAAGGGUGAGGGGUGGCUGCGAAUGCUGCGGUGGAGCACAUCAUGGGCAGCCUCUCUGCAGAAGCUGUGUCUUCCCUCGACCGAGUCACCGGGUUGCAACUCCUCCGGGGGAUGCGCGGUAGGGCCCGCGGGCAGCUCCAAUAUCCAGUCUCCGAAUAGCCGUCCAAUAUUUUCCCAUGAGUAAUUUUCCGGUUUUGUAACGUCAGUUUAUCAGAACCGAAAACCCCUGUGAAUCCGCUAAGGAGGAUCUCUUUUAAUUGCUCACUAACGAGGAUGUUGCUAUUUUCUCAGGAGCAGCCAUUCCCGCAGCUAAAUCACAGGAGCCCUAGACAGACCGGAGCCGACAAAAAUGUAGGUUUUGACGUUAAAAGCUAAAUGGGGAAGCAGAAGGUAAAUUGAUGGUAGAUGGGGAUGUCAGUGCCCUGGCCUCAGCUCUCCGCCGGAGGAGCCAGGGCCUGAUAACAGCAGAGCGCUGCGCUCCGCAUCCUGCCUGCACCCGGAGGCAUCGGCAUCCCGUCCAUCUGCCCUGUAAUUCCUCGGGCCCAAAACUUUUUGGGAGCUUCUACCAAGGUUAAAGGCAUGUAAGAGUAGGGAUAGCAGCCUUUCCCACUCUGCAACUUUUCUCUAUGGGUGCAGGGAGGAAGAGAGAAGGGAGGGCAGGGCGGAGAGCAGCCGGGUCGCUGAAGCCCUGUCCACUCAGAUUGAGUCACGGAUCCGUCUUUUAGACUUGUAGCCUCCUUUCAUGGCUAAGGGAGUGAGACCCCCGGCUCUCUCUCAAGAGAACACAGCAUUUUAAUUUUUUUUAUCCCCUUGAAAAGGAAGAGCGACAAAACUCCCCCGGGUGACGUCCCGCCUCCCCUUCCCUCCCAAGGAGCGGCCCCUCGGUUCCCCGGGGUGCGCGCCCGGCUGCACGCCCGAAACAGCGAGGACCUCCCCAGCGGCUGCGUGUCCCCUGGGGGGCCCGAGGCAGACAGCAGAGCGGAUUUUUAGAGCUAGUCCGGAUUUUGGAAAGCCGGGACGCAGCGAGGGGGCGGCUCUGCGCUCCGCUGCUGGCAGCGAGCCUAUCAGCCGCUGGCAGUACUGAGUUUUGGGGGACUCUGCAGCAUGCAGGACCUCGUUGCUAUCGGAUGUGUAUGCCAUGCCCGCACUCCGGCAAGCAAAAGAGAUAAAAAUGUCGCGGGGCCUUUUUUUCUUUGUUUUAAUUUGUUUUGUGGUCUGGGUUUUUUUGGAGGUUUUUUGGAUUUGUUUGUUGUUUUUUUUUCGCAAAUACUCCCCCUCUCCCCCGUGGUUCCCAGGAGCUCUUCUUUGCCCCAAAAGAUUAUUGCAAUAAUUAUUUCUCGUUUGAUAUCGUUGUCAAAGAGGUGCAGCGGGGCCUCUCGGCCAAGCCAAAGACACCCCCAGAACAAGCGUCGGGCCAUACGUGGGGUAUAAACAGGACUGAGGGAUGCCGUGGAGACAGCAUGAACUUGAAAGAUGGGAAAGGAGCGAGGAGCUAGAGACAUGUUGACGUCAGAUCAGACGGCUCGGAGCCAUCCUGCUCUCCACUUGGGUGUAAUCACGGCGACGCUUUCCAAGCCCCGGCCCGGCAGCGGCCGCCAGCUGGGAUGCGGGUGCAGUGGGACGCGGCACUCCAGCCCCGGGGCUCCUCGGUACAGCCCGGUUUUGAACUCCGGAGGCUCUGUCUCUUCUGAGUUUGCCGCCGAGGUUGUUUGUUUAUUCGUCUGUUUGGGACUUGGAGAAAGCAAAAACGGUGCAUUCCGCGGGCGGGGUUACUCCCCCCAGCCCCCGGCCCAGCGCUUGCUUUAUCUCUGCCCGAUUUCUCCCGGCGCAUUCGCUCACAGCGUUGUCUGUCUUCCAAAAUAAAUACCGAGCCAGGCAGAUUUCCACCUUAUGUCUUGGCAAGGAGAAAUUAGCCGAACAAAGUGCGACGCUUACGCGCGGGCAGUCGCAGGCGCGCUGACACCCCGUUAUCCGAAGUGGUAGUCGGGUUUAGAACGAGCCGGGAGAGCUGGGGGUUGCUGUAAAACAAGACGAUUCCCUACCCAAACGGCAGUGCUGCUGGCAAGGAGAUGGCUUUGCACCUGCUAUUAAAUCCUAAUGAGUCGCCUCUAAUUGAGAGCUGGGGCUGGCUGACGGUAACGCUGAACAGCCAGCAUGGAAGCCUUGGCUCAGCAGGACCCAAAACCACGUUUGAUACGCUUAUUUUGACAAACCUUUUACUUCAACAUUUUCUUUUUUUUUUUUUUUUUUUAUGUUUCGUAUCACUCUAUUUUUUCCCCCAAGGAGGUAAAAGAAUAAUAAUUGAAUAAAUACAACUUAAUCCUC